rnacentral:sRNA from 1 species
UGAUGAUCAAGCGGAAAGAAUCAUGAGCGCAUGACACGCUUGCGUGCUCAGGCGCUCAUGAUUCGAGAUGUGCCCUACAUGAGCAUGAAGCCAUGCGAAGCAGGGCGAGAAUGCGAAUGUAGGGAGGAUUGCGAGAGCGCGAAGCGCGGAGCAAUCCGUGAUCAUCA